rnacentral:rRNA from 1 species
UACGUAGGUGGCAAGCGUUGUCCGGAUUUACUGGGCGUAAAGGGAGCGUAGGUGGAUUAUUUAAGUGGGAUGUGAAAAUCCCCGGGCUAACCUGGGGGCUGCAUUCCAAACUGGAUGUCUAGAGUGCAGGAGAGGAGAGUGGAAUUCCUAGUGUAGCGGUGAAAUGCGUAGAGAUUAGGAAGAACACCAGUGGCGAAGGCGACUCUCUGGACUGUAACUGACACUGAGGCUCGAAAGCGUGGGGAGCAAACAGG